rnacentral:rRNA from 1 species
CCGGCGCACGGGUGAGUAACGCGUAUGCACCCUACCUAUCAAAGGGGAAUAACCCGGCAAAAGUCGAACUAAUACCGCAUAAAACAGGGACACCGCAUGGUGAUAUUUGUUAAAGAAAUUCGCUGAUAAAUGGGCAUGCGUUCCAUUAGGUAGUUGGUGAGGUAACGGCUCACCAAGCCGACAAUGGAUAGGGGAACUGAGAGGUUGGUCCCCCACACUGGUACUGAAACACGGACCAAACUCCUACGGGAGGCAGCAGUGAGGAAUAUUGGUCAAUGGGCGAAAGCCUGAACCAGCCAAGUCGCGUGAAGGAAGAAGGAUCUAUGGUUCGUAAACUUCUUUUGCAGGGGAAUAAAGUGCAGGACGUGUCCUGUUUUGUAUGUACCCUGAGAAUAAGGAUCGGCUAACUCCGUGCCAGCAGCCGCGGUAAUACGGAGGAUCCAAGCGUUAUCCGGAUUUAUUGGGUUUAAAGGGUGCGUAGGUGGUUUGAUAAGUCAGCGGUGAAAGUUUGCAGCUUAACUGUAAAAAUGCCGUUGAAACUGUCGAACUUGAGUGUAAAUGAGGUAGGCGGAAUGCGUGGUGUAGCGGUGAAAUGCUUAGAUAUCACGAAGAACUCCGAUUG